rnacentral:rRNA from 1 species
AUUGAACGCUGGCGGCAGGCUUAACACAUGCAAGUCGAGCGGAGAGAGGUAGCUUGCUACUGAUCUUAGCGGCGGACGGGUGAGUAAUGCCUAGGAAUCUGCCUGGUAGUGGGGGACAACGUUUCGAAAGGAACGCUAAUACCGCAUACGUCCUACGGGAGAAAGCAGGGGACCUUCGGGCCUUGCGCUAUCAGAUGAGCCUAGGUCGGAUUAGCUAGUAGGUGGGGUAAUGGCCCACCUAGGCGACGAUCCGUAACUGGUCUGAGAGGAUGAUCAGUCACACUGGAACUGAGACACGGUCCAGACUCCUACGGGAGGCAGCAGUGGGGAAUAUUGGACAAUGGGCGAAAGCCUGAUCCAGCCAUGCCGCGUGUGUGAAGAAGGUCCUCGGAUUGUAAAGCACUUUAAGUUGGGAGGAAGGGCAGUAAGUUAAUACCUCGCUGUUUUGACGUUACCAACAGAAUAAGCACCGGCUAACUUCGUGCCUGCAGCCGCGGUAACAC